rfam:Listeria monocytogenes EGD-e, complete genome
UUAACUUUAUCUACAGUCUAUUUUUUAUAAAUGCUAGUGAUUAAACGAUUUCAUUGAUACGGGAGUGUGGUGCUAGUUAUGAAGAUAAAUAAAAUUAUCGAAUAUAUUGUAGUAGCAAUCAUCGUUUUGGGGUGGACUUACUUCAUUGUCAUUAAAGAAAUUCUCCCUAAAAAUAUAGGAUUUAUUUCAUUAGUAAUUCUAUCAAUAGUUCUUUAUUUUGUAGGUAAAUGGUUGAAUGGAAAACAUAGCACAUAAAA